rnacentral:rRNA from 1 species
CCUACGGGAGGCAGCAGUGGGGAAUAUUGCACAAUGGGGGGAACCCUGAUGCAGCGACGCCGCGUGAGUGAUGAAGUAUUUCGGUAUGUAAAGCUCUAUCAGCAGGGAAGAAAAUGACGGUACCUGACUAAGAAGCCCCGGCUAACUACGUGCCAGCAGCCGCGGUAAUACGGAGGGGGCAAGCGUUAUCCGGAUUUACUGGGUGUAAAGGGUGCGUAGACGGUAGUGCAAGUCUGAAGUGAAAGCCCGCGGCCCAACUGCGGGACUGCUUUGGAAACUGCCCGGCUAGAGUGCAGGAGAGGUAAGCGGAAUUCCUAGUGUAGCGGUGAAAUGCGUAGAUAUUAGGAGGAACACCAGUGGCGAAGGCGGCUUACUGGACAGUAACUGACGUUGAGGCUCGAAAGCGUGGGGAGCAAACAGGAUUAGAUACCCCAGUAGUC